CAGCCAUACCAGCUUGUCAAACCCUGAUCCCAUCAGAUCUCAGAAGCCAAGCAAGGCCAGGCCUGGUUAGUAUUUGGAUGGGAGACUGCUGGGAGUACCAGGUGUCACAGUGU
rnacentral:rRNA from 1 species